CACGUAGGGCGCAAGCGUUGUCCGGAAUUAUUGGGCGUAAAGAGCUCGUAGGCGGUCUGUUGCGUCCGCUGUGAAAACUCGGGGCUUAACCCCGAGCCUGCAGUGGAUACGGGCAGACUAGAGGUAGGUAGGGGAGAAUGGAAUUCCCGGUGUAGCGGUGAAAUGCGCAGAUAUCGGGAGGAACACCGGUGGCGAAGGCGGCAUCCUGGACUGGUCCUGACACUCAGGAGCGAAAGCGUGGGGAGCGAUCCGG
rnacentral:rRNA from 1 species